rnacentral:rRNA from 1 species
AUGGCGGUGGCGCGGCUGGGCGGCGGCCGCGGGGGCUUCUUCGGGGCCGUCCGGCGGCUGCGGAUGCGCUGGGUGGCCGCGGCCUACCGGCGGGCGCUGCGCCGGCUGCGCGCCUUCUACGCCCGGGCGCUCGAGGACCUCCUCGAGGGCGCGGCCGCCAUUAGCAUGAUGCAAUCCAACUACGCCGGCGCCGACUGCUCCUUCGGCACCGCCUUCGCGCCCGCCGUCACCGUCGGCAACCGCUACUGA